AUGCGUAGGAAUCUACCUAGUAGUACGGAAUAGCCAUUAGAAAUGGUGGGUAAUACUGUAUAAUCCCCGAGGGGGAAAGAUUUAUCGCUAUUAGAUGAGCCUACGUUAGAUUAGCUAGUUGGUGAGGUAAUGGCUUACCAAGGCUAUGAUCUAUAGCUGGUCUGAGAGGACGAUCAGCCACACUGGAACUGAGAUACGGUCCAGACUCCUACGGGAGGCAGCAGUGGGGAAUAUUGGACAAUGGGCGAAAGCCUGAUCCAGCUAUGCCGCGUGAGUG
rnacentral:rRNA from 1 species